UACGGGGGGGGCAAGCGUUGUUCGGAAUUACUGGGCGUAAAGGGCGCGUAGGCGGUGCUCUAAGUCGGAUGUGAAAACUCUGGGCUCAACCCAGAGCCUGCAUCCGAAACUGGAGUGCUAGAGUUCUGGAGGGGGUAGCGGAAUUCCUGGUGUAGCGGUGAAAUGCGUAUAUAUCAGGAGGAACACCGGUGGCGAAGGCGGCUACCUGGACAGAAACUGACGCUGAGACGCGAAAGCGUGGGGAGCAAACAGG
rnacentral:rRNA from 1 species